rnacentral:rRNA from 1 species
GACGAACGCUGGCGGCGUGCUUAACACAUGCAAGUCGAGCGAAGUUAUUCCUUCGGGAAUAACUUAGCGGCGGACGGGUGAGUAACACGUGGGUAACCUGCCUCAUAGAGGGGGAUAGCCUUCCGAAAGGAAGAUUAAUACCCCAUAACAUAGCAUUAUCGCAUGAUAAAGUUAUUAAAGGAGUAAUCCGCUAUGAGAUGGACCCGCGGCGCAUUAGCUAGUUGGUGAGGUAACGGCUCACCAAGGCUACGAUGCGUAGCCGACCUGAGAGGGUGAUCGGCCACAUUGGAACUGAGAUACGGUCCAAACUC